AGGAAAAUUUUUGAAUGAAUACUACAGUAUUCGAGACGAGGUUCAUGAUUUAUUAAAAAGUUUUUCUUGGAUUUGUGGUGGAUAUGGUGUACGAUGGGAACCCUAUCUAUCUUUGUAUGUGACUGUGGCAGCUGAAAGACAAAAUGAUGAAGAUGCCUUAAGAAAAGAAAUUGACGAAAGUUUUGGAUGGAAAGCUUCUCCUUACUUUGACUUUAAACCAGAACCAAAGAAAUCGCAAUUUCGAUGGUUGUCAGACCUAGAAGUAGUAAAAAAAGAGAACAGCCCUCGUCCUUCAAGUGAAAAAACUGACAAUGAAUGUGAAACAAGAGCAAAAGAGGUCAAAUUCCAAGGCAAACAAAACUUUUUACAUAACAAAGAUAUGUAAUAAAUGCAUUUAGAUGACGAAGUUUUAUCCUGUCGUAGAAAAAGGUUAGGACAGAGCAUUGAAAUUAUAAAGAUAGGUAAAGUU